rnacentral:rRNA from 1 species
ACGGCUCAGUAACACGUGGACAACCUACCCUUAGGUCGGGAAUAAACCCGGGAAACUGGGUAUAAUGCCCGAUAGGACUGGAAGGCUGGAAUGCAUCCAGACCAAAAGCUCCGGCGCCUAAGGAUGGGUCUGCGGCCUAUCAGGUCGUAGUGGGUGUAAUGUACCUACUAGCCUACGACGGGUACGGGUUGUGAGAGCAAGAGCCCGGAGAUGGAUUCUGAGACACGAAUCCAGGCCCUACGGGGUGCAGCAGGCGCGAAAACUUUACAAUGCUGGAAACAGCGAUAAGGGAACCUCGAGUGCCAGGAUACAAUCUUGGCUGUCGUAAUGCCUAAAAAGCAUUGCAUAGCAAGGGCCGGGCAAGACCGGUGCCAGCCGCCGCGGUAACACCGGCGGCUCGAGUGGUAACCGCUAUUAUUGGGUCUAAAGGGUCUGUAGCCGGCCAGAUAAGUCUCUUGGGAAAUCUGGCAGCUCAACUGUCAGGCUUUCAGGAGAUACUGUCUGGCUCGAGGCCGGGAGAGGUGAGAGGUACUUCAGGGGUAGGGGUGAAAUCUUGUAAUCCUUGAAGGACCACCAGUGGCGAAGGCGUCUCACCAGAACGGACCUGACGGCAAGGGACGAAAGCUAGGGGCACGAACCGGAUUAGAUACCCGGGUAGUCCUAGCCGUAAACGAUACUCGCUAGGUGUCGGCCACGGUGCGACCGUGGUCGGUGCCGUAGGGAAGCCGUGAAGCGAGCCACCUGGGAAGUACGGCCGCAAGGCUGAAACUUAAAGGAAUUGGCGGGGGAGCAC